rnacentral:rRNA from 1 species
UGAGCAACCUACCGAACUGUGGGGGAUAGCCGGCCUAACGGCCGAGUAAUACCGCAUACGCUCUCAGGGAGGCAUUUCUUUGAGAGGAAACCUACGGGACAGAUCGAGGGGCUCGCGGCCUAUCAGCUAGUUGGCGAGGUAACGGCUCACCAAGGCAACGACGGGUAGCUGGUCUGAGAGGAUGGCCAGCCACAUUGGGACUGAGAUACGGCCCAGACUCCUACGGGAGGNAG